rnacentral:rRNA from 1 species
GAUGAACGCUGGCGGCGUGCCUAAUACAUGCUAGUCGAGCGAACGGACGAGAAGCUUGCUUCUCUGAUGUUAGCGGCGGACGGGUGAGUAACACGUGGAUAACCUACCUAUAAGACUGGGAUAACUUCGGGAAACCGGAGCUAAUACCGGAUAAUAUUUUGAACCGCAUGGUUCAAAAGUGAAAGACGGUCUUGCUGUCACUUAUAGAUGGAUCCGCGCUGCAUUAGCUAGUUGGUAAGGUAACGGCUUACCAAGGCAACGAUGCAUAGCCGACCUGAGAGGGUGAUCGGCCACACUGGAACUGAGACACGGUCCAGACUCCUACGGGAGGCAGCAGUAGGGAAUCUUCCGCAAUGGGCGAAAGCCUGACGGAGCAACGCCGCGUGAGUGAUGAAGGUCUUCGGAUCGUAAAACUCUGUUAUUAGGGAAGAACAUAUGUGUAAGUAACUGUGCACAUCUUGACGGUACCUAAUCAGAAAGCCACGGCUAACUACGU